rnacentral:rRNA from 1 species
AUUGAACGCUGGCGGCAGGCCUAACACAUGCAAGUCGAGCGAGCGGCGGACGGGUGAGUAAUGUAUGGGGACUGCCCGAUAGAGGGGGAUAACUACUGGAAACGGUAGCUAAUACCGCAUACUAUCGGAUAACCCAUAUGGGAUUAGCUAGUAGGUGAGGUAAUGGCCCACCUAGGCGACGAUCCCUAGCUGGUCUGAGAGGAUGAUCGGCCACCCGUGGACGUAGACGCGGACCAGCGUCCCAGGUACGCAGCAGUGGGGAAUAUUACGCAACGGGCGCGAGCCUGAUGCAGCCAUGCCGCGUGUAUGAAGAAGACCCUAGGGGUGUAAAGUACUUUCAGUCGGGAGGCGUUACCGACAGAAGAAGCACCGGCUAACUACGUGCCAGCAGCCGCGGUAAUAC